AUUGCUUGCUGCAAGUUCUCUUGCUCUGCCUGAAGAGUACAGGAGAUUGACGACUGAUCCAGCAUCACCAAUCCAAGAAUUCUACCCUUCUGGUUGUAUUACUUGAGUUUCAUAGUUUUCUAUUAUUUCUUUCUGAACUCCCCUCCCCCCCCCUUCCGACGCAUGAAUUUAUAGCACACUAUCUAAAUGGGCUAGUUAAUCAAAAACUUAUAUUUAUUAUAUGAAUACCAGCCACAAACACUCAAUGUGUUAGUUGGAAGCUUGUCAUUGUGAUGCUCUAAAUUAUCAAAGCCUCAAAUUAUUUUGGCAUCAUCUGACAAAUGUUGGCGUAUGAUGUAGGGCUUACUUUAGACCUAUGUUGCUGUUAGAUAGUUUAGGAUGUUGGUUUUAGCUAUAUAUUUAUAUGUGUGGAGUUUAGUGGGUUUGACAGUUUGAGAGGCACUUAGUUAUCUUGAAGGGAUGGAGGAAUGGAGUUUAUUGUUAAACUUGAGCCAUAGAUUGUUAAUUUGUGAUAGAUAUUUGGAUUUUGUAGUAUUUUUUUUUAUUACGUAUGGAGGUAAAAGAUUGUUUUGGUUUCCCUUCCAUUUUUUUGGGUUUAUCAUUUAUGUAUUCCCAAUUGUGCCAAAGAACUUUCGGAGAGUGAUGAAUUCCUUUUUUUUUUAAGCUUAGUCAUACCAAAGAAACUUUCAUCAAUUUUGAUCAUUUAGACAAUGCCACAAUUACUUCAGAUUGAUCACAGAGAUAGUUUUAUGUUCCCAUUGUCCUAAAGCUAUAGCUUAUAGUUCACUUUGGGAAAGAACAAUGUUAAUCAAUGUUAAAUGUAAUUGGCUGAUUGCUUAUUGAGACCAUCUUAGUAUUCCAUUUUUGCCAUUUAGUAUUAUGAUUUUUCUGCCUUAUCCUUGCUGACCAUUUUUCUAUCUGUUCCUGUGUUGCAAAUAGGCUAGAGAAUUUGGUUGAAACCUUGCAAGCAAACUCUUCUUCCAGUAUGUUCUUGAAUCUUAUUUGAAGAUGGCAAUCACUUGUACCGUUUCUUGGAUCAUGAUCCUAUUGUUAUGUCUCAAUGUCACAACAUUCCAAGGGUUAUAACAGAAGUAAAGCCAAAGCCGAUAAUAGAAAUUUCAUCAAGGCUUGGAUUUUGGUCGUAUGCAAUCUUUGAAGCUUAUGCAACGGAAGAUGGAAAACAUGUUGAUUACAAAAGUAUCCAUGGGAGUGAGGAAUUUGCAAGGUGGUGUUAUAUUUUCCUAAACUGAAUGGUGUCCCUUUUGUUGGGUAUAAGGGCAAUAUGGGUAUUAAAAUAUAUUAUGAGGGCAAUCUUGAAAAUUACUUAUUUAUAUCCCACAAUAUAUUUUGUAAAACAAUCACGGAUAAGAUAUAUCUAGUGUUAUAUAUUUACAUUGGUGAUGACUGAGAUGACCUUGAUCUUUGGAUUGUGACCUUGUGCUUUGCUGUUGCUUUUUCUGGAGUGUGGUCUGCAUCACUGUGAGGCUUGUUGCAUCAGUCCAUCAUCCAAUUCCUUGUUCUUCUUGGCAACAGGAUUGUAUUUCUACUCUAAGGCAUCAGAUUUGGUUUGGGAGAUGUAUGCUUUGGUCAGUGGCCUGGAUAUUGCUCUGUAUUGCUCUGUAUUCUGCUGUAUAUUGCUCUGGCUUUGCAUUGGUGUGAGGUCUGGGAUCUGUAUGCACUGGAAUCUGUUGGAAUCUGUGGGUGAUCUGAGCAGGCCAGCUGCUGUGAUGGUGCAUGUUAGUGGAAGUGGUAGUGGUUUACUGAACUGAUGGUCUGAUGCUGGACUGAUGCAGAGGGAGUUUGUUUGGUGGUUGUGGGAGUGGUCUGCUGCUGGAAUCUGAGGGUGAUCUGAGCAGGCCAGCUGCUGUGAUGGUGUAUGAUGGUGGAAGUGGUAGUGGUCUACUGAACUGAUGGUCUGAUGCUGGACUGAUGCAGUGGGAGUCUGUUUGGUGGUCGUGGGAGUGGUCUGCUGGACUGCUGCAGAGGGGAGAUUGUUUGGUGGACUGUUUUGGGUUUUUUCUAUGUAUCUGGUGGUUGUUUUCUCCUCAACCUUGUGGUGUGUUGGCAAAUGAUUGGGCUUUCCUCGCGGUGCCAACCUAGUUGGGAUCGUGAGGUUUGCUUUGAUGCCUUUUGCACUUCCUCUUCCUUUAUUUGAUGUAAUUUCAUUUUAACAAUUUUCAUCAAUAAAGGGUUGUUUUUUGCUGUUCAAAAAAAAAAAAAAAAAAAUCAAGUCAAUAAACAAGAAUUGGAGGAUAUAUUAUCUAAUAUAUAUAUCCUAUUUAUUAUAUAUCUUGACUAAAUUUCACAUCAUAUUAUAUCCUCCAUAUUAUAUCCAGUGAAACAAAUAGGACAUAGGGGGUGGUAUUGCAUAUCUUUUCCUUUUGUAUUAUAUACUAUCCGAAGCAACUAAACACGAGAUAUAGGAAGACAAAAAAAAUGUGGGACUCACCUCAUUAUAUCUGGUUCCACAUAAAAAAACAGGCCCAAGGGCUUGAGACCCUAGAAGUGCUACUUGACAUGCUCUUGAUAUGAGCUUAAGUGCCUGAAAUGUUAAGGCUAGUGCUCGACAGGUGUUUGGCCUGGGUUGAGUACAUAAGAUGUCGAAACUUAUGCUUGAUAUGAGUUCCAAGUGUUGCUAACAUACUUCAGGUCCAUUUUAUGAUCAUUUUACCUUUAAAUUGUUUAAAAAAAAAACACAUUUCAUCAUUUUUGAAAAAGAGAGAUGAUUAUAUAUAUAGUUUCACAUGGAUUGUUUCUCUACAAAUCAAAACCUUAACACAAUUUUCAUAUUCUUAUAACACCAGGGCGAUGAGUAAUAGCCGAUGAGCAACAAAAGACGUUGAAGAGGUAGAUUGAAUCAAAGAGUUUUGUGGUUGCUUUUGGAUCAACAGGGUUAAUGUCAUCAAAAUAGCUUUGGAGGGGAGAUUAAGCUUGUGGCAAACUCAAUGACAUAGGUGAAAUUGGACAAGAGUUGUAACUUUUUCAUUUUGAGUCUUGUAAUCAUUUGAUUCAUUAGUGGAUUUGUUAAGAGUCUUAGGAUCAUGGUUUUCAUCUCGCGAGAUAGUUGUUCCAUAGAAUUUGUGUUUGAUUGAAUUGCUUAAUAGAUGAAUUGAUGGAUUAAAUUGUUUAAUUUCCAUAUUGAUUGCUUGAUUAA